rnacentral:rRNA from 1 species
GACGAACGCUGGCGGCGUGCUUAACACAUGCAAGUCGAACGAAGAGCGAUGGAAGCUUGCUUCUAUCAAUCUUAGUGGCGAACGGGUGAGUAACGCGUAAUCAACCUGCCCUUCAGAGGGGGACAACAGUUGGAAACGACUGCUAAUACCGCAUACGAUCUAAUCUCGGCAUCGAGGAUAGAUGAAAGGUGGCCUCUACAUGUAAGCUAUCACUGAAGGAGGGGAUUGCGUCUGAUUAGCUAGUUGGAGGGGUAACGGCCCACCAAGGCGAUGAUCAGUAGCCGGUCUGAGAGGAUGAACGGCCACAUUGGGACUGAGACACGGCCCAGACUCCUACGGGAGGCAGCAGCGGGGAAUCUUCCGCAAUGGACGAAAGUCUGACGGAGCAACGCCGCGUGAGCGAUGACGGCCUUCGGGUUGUAAAGCUCUGUUAAUCGGGACGAAAGGCCUUCUUGCGAAUAGUGAGAAGGAUUGACGGUACCGGAAUAGAAAGCCACGGCUAACUACGUG